AUUGAACGCUGGCGGCAGGCCUAACACAUGCAAGUCGAACGAGUGGCGGACGGGUGAGUAAUGUCUGGGAAACUGCCUGAUGGAGGGGGAUAACUACUGGAAACGGUAGCUAAUACCGCAUACCAUCAGAUGUGCCCAGAUGGGAUUAGCUUGUUGGUGGGGUAACGGCUCAACAAGGCGACGAUCCCUAGCUGGUCUGAGAGGUUGACCAGCCACACUGGAACUGAGACACGGUCCAGACUCUUACGUGAGGCCGCAGUGGUGUAUAUUGCACAAUGGGCGCAAGCCGUAUGCAGCAAUGCCGCGUGUGUGAACAAGGCCUUCGUAUUGUAAAGUACUUUCAGCGGGGAGGCGUUACCCGCAGAGGAAGCACCGGCUAACUCCGUGCCAGCCGCCGCGGUAAUAC
rnacentral:rRNA from 1 species